CAAGAAACAGAAAAGACAAAGAACAGAGAGGAACAAGGACAUCAAGAACAAAGGUUCUUUUGUUUCAUCUAGUACCUGCUGGAUUACUGCAGUGAUUCUAGGCAUCCUCUUCUUGACAUUGCUGGGAAUAAUAUUUUUAUGGCUUUAUUAUCAAGGGUAAAUAAUGGUUUUAUUAUCAAGGGUGUAAUAAUAAUAAUAAUAAUGGUUUUAUUAUCAAGGUUUUAUAAUAAUAGUUUUAUUAUCAAGGGUAAAUAAAUCUCCUUCACUGAAAA